GACGAACGCUGGCGGCGUGCCUAAUACAUGCAAGUUGAGCGCUGAAGGUUGGUACUUGUACCAACUGGAUGAGCAGCGAACGGGUGAGUAACGCGUGGGGAAUCUGCCUUUGAGCGGGGGACAACAUUUGGAAACGAAUGCUAAUACCGCAUAAAAACUUUAAACACAAGUUUUAAGUUUGAAAGAUGCAAUUGCAUCACUCAAAGAUGAUCCCGCGUUGUAUUAGCUAGUUGGUGAGGUAAAGGCUCACCAAGGCGAUGAUACAUAGCCGACCUGAGAGGAUGAUCGGCAACACGGGAACUGAGACACGGUCCAGACUACUCCGGGAGGCAGCAGUGGGGAAUAUUGGACAAUGGGCGAAAGCAUGAUCCAGCCAUACCGCGUGGGUGAAGAAGGCAUUGGGGUUGUAAAGCCAUUUGGUUGGGAAAGAAAAGCAGCAGGUUAAUACCCCGCUGUGCUGACGGUACCCAAAGAAUAAGCACCGGCUAACUUCGUG
rnacentral:rRNA from 1 species